rnacentral:lncRNA from 10 species
ACUUGAACCAGGGAAGAGGAGACUGUGGUGACCCAAGAUCACGCCAUUGCACUCCAGCCUGGGCAACAAGAGUGAAACUCUGCCUCAAAAAAAAAAAAAGAAAAAAAAAAAAGAGAAAGAAAAGAAAAAAAGAAAUUUAGCCAUGAAAUAAAUACAAAUUCACCAGUUUACAAACAGAAAAACUAUCUGAUCCAAACAGUGUUUUUUAUCUUAAUAGAAAAAUAACAGCAAAUUUAAAGCAGGCAGAGAAGAAACUAGAGAAAAAAGAGGACUCAGGAACUCUACAGUUUGCAGGUCAACCUCAGGGCUCCUUUUUUUUUAAUGUAAAUGUGCAGAAAGACCAUAUUACUUCCACUUUACAUAAACUCUGGCAAGUAGAGGCGCCAUGAACCCUAUGGAGUACUCGGCUGGGAGGAGCAAACGCCCUUUCUCUUUGGAGCUGAGAAAACUCAAUCUCUCAUUUACCUAUGACAACAACAGUUCAGUUCCUCAUGCAAAUACAUAGACAACCCAAACUGAGAUUCAUUUUGGGAGAAAAAGCAAUAGAGAAGACCCUUUAGGAUGCAUCUCUGAACUAGAAUUAGGAUCCUUAAAUCACAGCUUCCUAGAAGAGAAAAAAAAAAAAACAAAAAAACAGCCAAGACCAUUCCCUGUAAACUGUGCUCAGCCACCCCUUCUUUGUAGUUCUCGUCUGCCAUUACACACGCCAAGGUCAAAUCCUCUCACAGUGCAGGGUCAUCUCUGGUUCCCCCAAAGCCAAAGAGGUCAGGUCAUGCCGUACAGGAAGACAGCAGAGCUUUAGACCUAAGAAGAAUCCGCCCAUCACUCUUGAAACUCCACAAAGAAAACAGAGCACCCUGGAAGGGGUGAGUGGCCCCUUUGUUCCGGAUCCUUUAAAGGGGCUCGAGUCAUUGGAAGCCUUCUCUAGAUUUUUUUGGUCCCGCAGAUGGCAAAGGCAGGAGGAGGUAUAGGGAGGAAGAAAAGUAAGUGAAAGAGCAUUUGUUGUUUUUGUUUGUUUGUUUUUUAAGACAGAAAGCAAACACAGAAACCAAGCACGUGAUUUGUUGUUUUCGUUUAGUUUUUUCCUCUUUUGCAGCUGCAAGGAAUUUUAGCCAAAUUAGAGAGGCUUUGUUACCCAUAAUUUGGAAUUCUCACUUGGAUUUGACCAAGUCAGGUAGAGUUGGUCAAAUCUGAUGAGAGAAAGACCAGAAAAAACAACAACAACAAAAGUCAAAUGAUAUGACCACAGACUGCUCUAAUGGGAAGAAGAAAUUCAGACCAGCUGGUUGUUAACCUUCAGCCAAGACAAAACCUCAGUUCAGCUACUUACCUAGGGAUGGGUCUCAGGCUGAAGACUGCUCUCUACCAUCCUUGAAGCAGGAAAAAAACUCGAACUUGUCUUCCCUGCUGGGAGCAAGCUCAAACUCCAUAAAAGAGUUGUCAGCCUUCCAUCAUCACGGACCCAGGAAAUCUUGCCUUCCUUCUUGGAAGCAAAUAAAACUCCAAAAGAAGGAGAGGGGGAGUUGUACAUCAAAUAAACUUUAGAUCACGACCAAGUUUUGAGAGAUCAGGGACUCUAUGGAGGGGGUGCUCCCAGACCUCAGCAAAUUGUCCUGUUGGUUUGAGCCAUAAGGUUAGCUCAUGGUGCUACCAAGCACCAAUAGAUCUGUCAAAGGUCAGGGGUACCUCAACUCAGAAUCCCUCCAUGGUUACCAAAAUGUGAACCCCCCAAAUCUGAGACAGGUCUCAGUUAAUUUAGAAAGUUUAUUGUUCCAAGGUUGAAGAUGCACACCCGUGACACAGCCUCAGGAUGUCCUGACGACAUGUGCCAAGGUGGUCAUACGUUUUAGGGAGACAUGAGACAUCAAUCAACACAUGUAAGAUGAACAUUGGUUCAGUCUGGAAAAGGCCGGGCAACGCCAAGCAAAUGUGGGACAACUCGCAGCCAGGAGAAAGCUUCCAGGUCACAGGUGGGUGAGAGACAAAGGUCGCAUUCUUUUGAGUUUCUGAUGGGCCUUUCCAAAGAAGGCAAUCAGAUAUGCAUCUAUCUCAGUGAGCAGGGGGUGAUUUUGAAUAGAAUGGGGGGCAGGUCGGCCCUAAGCCAUUCCCGGCUUGACUUUCCCCUUUAGCUUAGUGAUUUUGGGGGCCCAAGAUUUAUUUUCCUUUCACAAAACAAUAAACAUAACAAAUAAGUGAAUUAUAGAAAGGUGAAAACUAUGGAAAAAAAAGAAAAACAGAGAGAAAGAAUCCUGAACACUGACGUGGGGAGGGCAGGUGCCAGCUGCAGUACUAAAUAGCAGAGGGGAGGGCAGGUGCCAGCUGCAGUACCAAAUACUGGUGUGGGGAGGGCAGGUGCCAGCUGCAGUGCGUGGGGAGGGCAGGUGCCAGCUGCAGUACUAAAUAGCGGGGGAAGAUUUUUUUCUGAGCAACUUUGAGUCACUGCUCACAUCUCAUGCCAAUGUAUUAAUCCCAAGUCAAGGGUCAGAUGAGGCACUCGGAUCUCUCCAGUUGCCAACACAGCUCUUCCAAGUGUACUUUACUUCCUUUCAUUCCUGCUCUAAAACUUUAUUUAUGUAUUUAUUUUUGAGACAGAAUCUUGCUCUGUCGCCUAGGCUGGAGUGCAGUGGCACAAUCCCAGUUCACUGCAACCUCUGCCUCUGGGAUCAGGCAAUUCUCCUGCCUCAGCUUCCUAAGCAGCUGGGAUAACAGGCGUGCACCACCGUGCUUGGCUAAUUUUUUUUUUCUUUUUUCGUAUUUUGAGUAGAGAUGGGGUUUCACCAUAUUAGCCACGAUGGUCUCGUACUUCUGACCUCAGGUGAUCCACCUGCUUUAGCCUCCCAAAGUGCUGGGAUUACAGGUGUGAGCCACCACGCCCAGCCCUGGCCAACUUUUGUUUUUUUUGAGACAGAGUUUCAUUCUUAUUGCCCAGGCUGGAGUGCGAUGGCCCAAUCUUGGCUCACUGCAACCUCUGCCUCCCAGGUUUGUAGGAUAUAAUAAAUUCUUCUUCAAAGGUUUUAGCCUGUAAAUUGUUAAGUACAAUGAGUUCUGAGAUCCUCUCCAAAGAAUCAAUGUAUCAGUAUGUUCAGCUCUUCAUUUUAAAGUUUAACUUCCUCGUUUUCUUCAUCUCCUUGCCCCUAGUUUCAGUAAACAACCCCCUCCUAGCCUCUAUCACCUGCUCCAUCCUGAGUCACCCCCAGUCACCUGCUCUAAUCUGAGUCAUCCUGAGUCAACAGGGUUUCACCAUGUUGGCCAAGUUGGUCUCGAACUCCUGACCUCAUGUGAUCCGCCCACCUCAGCCUCCCAAAGUGCUGGGAUUACAGGUGUAAGCCAUCGUGCCUGGCCAGUUUUCACUUUAAAAUGAUCUCUAAUACCAACUCUUGGGGUCCGAAUGGGUCCCCACUGGUUUCAAAUGUUGAGCAUGCACAGAUUAUGUGGAUGAGAACUUGCCAGGUGGGCUUACCGAAGGAGACGUGGUAAGAAUCGCCUACAUCUGCCAGGCCCUGAGGACAGGCCCUCUCCACACCGAGGCUUAUUUCCUUGGGUUGCAGAAGAGGAAACGCCAGGGAGCCCAGUAUUCUUUGGUUCAUUCACUUCUUUUUUAUGUUGUAACCUACAUACUGUAAACUACGCCCAGCUUAAGUAGCGUAUACCCUGAUGAAUUUUUAUGUACGUAUGUAUCCCCAGGAUGUAUCCGACACUCAGGUCAAGAUACAGAACGUGCUCAGCACCUCAACAGGUGCCCUUGUGUUCCCUUCCAGUCAAGCCCCCACUUGCCACCACAGAAUGGAACAAUCAUUUUUUUUUUUUUUUUAGAGACAGGGUCUCGCUCUGUCUCCAAAGCUGGAGUGCAGCUCCAUCAUGGUUCACUGCAGCCUCCGCCUCCCGGGUUUGAGCGAUCCUCCCAUUUCAGUGUAACCACCAUUCUUAUCUCUAUCACCAUAGAUUAGCUCUGCAUGUCUUUGAACUUCAUAUAAAUGGAAUCAUGCAUAGAUAGGCUCUUUUGUGUCUGGAUUCUCUCUGUUAACACUGUGUCUGUGAGACUCACUCACGCUGUGUGUAGUAUUAUGCUUCAUCCUUUUUUGUUGUUGCAUAGUAUUCCACUGUAUAAAUAUACCACAAUUUAUUUGUCUGUUUUCCUAUUGCUGUGCAUUUGGAUUGUUUUGUUUUUCACUAUUUUGAAUAAAGCUGCUAUGAACAUCCUUGUGUAUGUCUUGGGUAUACAGAUGGUCCUGGCUUACAAUGAUUGGAUUUAAAAUUGUUUGACUUUAUGAUGGGCUUAUCAGGGUAUUAAAUGUGUUUCUGACUUACAGUAUUUUUGACUUACCACGUGUUUAUUGGGACGUAACCCCUUCCUAAGAUGAAGAGCAUCUGUAUACAUCCAGAAUCCUGUGGAGCAACUCAUAACCCAUGAGGAAUGGAAGCCGACAGACAGACUCAUCCCCAGGACAGGUGGUUCUCACUACAUCUCAUAAAGCUUCUUAGAAGAUCUUACAGGAUUGAGCAACCAGCCAGCCACAGCAGGGGCCAACUGGAUAACACGUCUUUGCAUAGGCUCUCCCUCUGUCCCUGUCACCCUCCCCUUUUCCUAACCUUGUUCCUUGGGAUUAUGUUUUGAAAUAAAUUAUUCAGAGAAAUGAAGCCAAAGCUGACCCAUUAGCCAAUAGCUAGGUUCUGUGAUGACAGAGCUUCUGGGCUAUAAUCGUUUACUGAGAAGCCAGCGUUCCUGAGGGGAUAAUGGCUCGUUCCAUUCAGCUGCAGCAUAGGAGUGAGGGCAGGGCAUUAGCAGAAGAUAACACCAGAAACGUGCUCUGGGGCCUGUUGAUGACUUUCUGUGCCAAGCACAGACAUUUAGCCUUUAUUCUGUAUGUGAUGGGAAGCCAGUGCCAGUGGUGGGUUUGAGCAGGGAACCAGCAACCAGUGGUGGGUUUGAGCAGGGAACCAGCAAUACUCAAGCUCUGCUUGGAUGGAGGCCAGUCAGGGAGGAGUUAGGGCAGGAGGACCAGUCAGGGAGGAGACUUAGGGCAGGAGGACCAGUCAGGGAGGAGACUUAGGGCAGGAGGACCGGUCAGGGAGGAGACUUAGGGCAGGAGUACUGGUCAGGGAGGAGACUUAGGGCAGGAGGACCGGUCAGGGAGGAGACUUAGGGCAGGAGGACCGGUCAGGGAGGAGACUUAGGGCAGGAGGACCGGUCAGGGAGGAGUUAGGGCUGGAGGACGGGUCAGGGAGGAGACUUAGGGCAGGAGGACCGGUCAGGGAGGAGUUAGGGCUGGAGGACCGGUCAGGGAGGAGUUAGGGCAGGAGGACUGGUCAGGGAGGAGACUUAGGGCAGGAGGACCGGUCAGGGAGGAGACUUAGGGCAGGAGGACCGGUCAGGGAGGAGACUUAGGGCAGGAGGACUGGUCAGGGAGGAGACUUAGGGCAGGAGGACAGGUCAGGGAGGAGUUAGGGCUGGAGGACGGGUCAGGGAGGAGUUAGGGCUGGAGGACCGGUCAGGGAGGAGUUAGGGCAGGAGGACAGGUCAGGGAGGAGUUAGGGGAGGAGGACCGGUCAGGGAGGAGUUAGGGCAGGGGGAUUGGUCAGGGAGGAGUUAGGGCAGGGGGAUUGGUCAGGGAGGAGUUAGGGCAGGAGGACCGGUCAGGGAGGAGUUAGGGCAGGAGGACCGGUCAGGGAGGAGACUUAGGGCAGGAGGACUGGUCAGGGAGGAGUUAGGGCAGGAGGACCGGUCAGGGAGGAGUUAGGGCAGGAGGACCGGUCAGGGAGGAGACUUAGGGCAGGGGGAUUCGUCAGGGAGGAGUUAGGGCAGGAGGACCGGUCAGGGAGGAGUUAGGGCAGGAGGACUGGUCAGGGAGGAGUUAGGGCAGGAGGACGGGUCAGGGAGGAGUUAGGGGAGGAGGACUGGUCAGGGAGGAGUUAGGGCUGGAGGACCGGUCAGGGAGGAGUUAGGGCAGGAGGACCGGUCAGGGAGGAGUUAGGGCUGGAGGACCGGUCAGGGAGGAGUUAGGGCAGGAGGACCGGUCAGGGAGGAGUUAGGGCAGGAGGACCGGUCAGGGAGGAGACUUAGGGCAGGAGGACUGGUCAGGGAGGAGUUAGGGCUGGAGGACCGGUCAGGGAGGAGUUAGGGCAGGAGGACUGGUCAGGGAGGAGUUAGGGCAGGAGGACAGGUCAGGGAGGAGACUUAGGGCAGGAGGACCGGUCAGGGAGGAGACUUAGGGCAGGAGGACUGGUCAGGGAGGAGUUAGGGCAGGAGGACCGGUCAGGGAGGAGUUAGGGCAGUAGGACAGGUCAGGGAGGAGUUAGGGCAGGAGGAUCGGUCAGGGAGGAGUUAGGGCAGGAGGACCGGUCAGGGAGGAGUUAGGGCAGGAGGACCGGUCAGGGAGGAGUUAGGGCAGGAGGACAGGUCAGGGAGGAGACUUAGGGCUGGAGGACUGGUCAGGGAGGAGUUAGGGCAGGAGGACCAGUUAGGAGGCAGUGACUUAGGACUUCAGCAGUGGCACUAGAAAGGGGAUGGAUAUGAACGACAUUGCAAAGUAAAACUAGAGAGACGGCCGGGCACAGUGGCUCACUCCUGUAAUCCCAGCACUUUGGGAGGCCAAGGCGGGUGGAUCAUGAGGUCAGGAGAUCGAGACCAGCCUGGCCAACAUGGUGAAACCCUAUCUCUACUAGAAAAAAAAAAAAAUAGCCAGGCGUGGUGGCGGGCGCCUGUAAUCCCAGCUACUCCAGAGGCUGAGGCAGGAGAAUUUGCUUGAACCAGGGAGUCGGAAGUUGCAGUGAGCUGAGAUCGCACCACUGCACUCCAGCCUGGGCAAUAGAGUGAGACUCCGUCUCAAUAACAAAACAAACAAACAAAAACCUAGAGAGACUUGGCACCUUGCAGAGAGAAGCAAAAGAUGACCCUGAGGUCUGGAGUCCAGGAAGCCAAGGACAGCAAAAGCAUCCACAGAAACAGGAAAAGGGCAGGUGUGGGAGGGAAGGUGAGAGGUUCAUCAGACCUCACAGCCCCUGGCAGCGCCUCCUGGAUCUUUGAAAUCCUGUGCACCCCAGGAGACUCCGGGAGGCCCAUCUGAGCUCACCGGAGACAGGUCUGCCGUCUCUCCUCUCAUCACUGGGGACAGAAAGCCUGAACAUGAGGCCUGGACUACGGGGCUCAGACCAGAAUAUUUCCAGACUUAAGGGCAGUAAUGUGGAGCCCAGGAAGGAAUAUUGAGGACAGAGGGCACAUUACUUAGCUCAAGGGGUGCUGGGUUCUUAUUUUCUACUUUCAAGAAAUGUUUGCUAUAGUCACUGUAACCACCACAAAACAGUGAAUAAUACCAUGAGCCAAAUGUAUGUUUCACAAUUUGUAUGGCUGAUUCUACGCACAUUUAAAUGUGUUUAUGACAAUUGUAGAUUUCGGUUUUCCUCUGG